CCAACGGCCUUUUUGAAGGCCACCAUAAUUUUUGGGAGUCAACUG
rfam:Folsomia candida strain VT population Fcan01_Sc008, whole genome shotgun sequence.